AUUGAACGCUGGCGGCAGGCCUAACACAUGCAAGUCGAACGAGUGGCGGACGGGUGAGUAAUGUCUGGGAAACUACCUGAUGGAGGGGGAUAACUACUGGAAACGGUAGCUAAUACCGCAUACCAUCGGAUGUGCCCAGAUGGGAUUAGCUAGUAGGUGGGGUAAUGGCUCACCUAGGCGACGAUCCCUAGCUGGUCUGAGAGGAUGACCAGCCAACAUGGAACUUGGACACGGGCCAGACUCCUAAGGGGGGCAGGAGUGGGGAAUAUUGCCCAAUGGGCGGAAACCUGAUUGCGCCAUGCCGGGGGUUUGGAAAAGGCCUUCCGGUUGGAAAGUACUUUCAGCGGGGGAGCGUUACCCGGAGGAAAAGCACCGGCUUACUCCGUGCCAGCAGCCGCGGUAAUAC
rnacentral:rRNA from 1 species